AGGACAGCUCUGACUCGGGCGGGCAGAGGGACGGUGGCAGAACCUGCGGGCUAGUUGGGAGGCUCACCCUCUGGGAGGAAGGGAAGCGGAGACAGCCGCUGCCGAGGAGCGAGGAGACGCCUGGAGGCCGAGGGUCAGGCUGCCGCUACCUCCUCCAGCAGCGGACACCGCAGAGAUAGCGCAGCCGGCGGGCGCACCGGCCACCAACGGCGACCCUUCGCGCAGGUGGCAGUGUAGAAGCCAAGACGGGAGCUUCCAGAAGUACUUUCAGAAAAAUAAGAGUGAACCUCAGUACGCAAACACAGGGAUCUGAAAAACCACAGAUGGAGAAACUGAGUCCUAAAAGGUUGCAACAUCCUUGAAGUUAUGCAGAGAACUAAAAUAGCAUAUGGCUUAUCUACGAGGUAAAGAUGGGAAUUGCUUCUGCUUGAUUGGCACCCUCUUGAAGAGAAAUACUUUUGCUCAGCUUGGUGAGUGUUGACCUUCUGAUUACAUCACUGAAGAUUUUUUUUUUAAUGUUAAACCUGUAUUGGAAAAAAUACAUAUCUUGCUUUUAAAAUGGAAGCUCUCAGCAGCAUUUAGAUCAAUCCAUAUGUUAUGGUUUAGGCCAAAUUAGCCAGCCAAUUUCAGAGCUGUUGUUUGGAAAGCUUUGGUAUACAUUCAUUAGAAAUUUCUGUCAAAUCACAGCUUGUAGAAGUUAUUUCCAAAUGUCCUUUUCCUUGCUGGUUAAAUGAAGGCUGCUUCUCUGAGGAAGAGGUCAUAUGCUCCUUAAUGGGGCCAGCCAUCCUUCCCUGGUGCUCCCUAUGCUUGUCUACCUGUCACCUGCUCUCAAGCAUGGUGCUCCCUGGGUACUUACUGAUGGCAUCCUUUCCAGUGCCCCUCUGUUCCCAAGCACCUGCACACCCUCCUUGAGGGCACAGAACCUGGGGGUUCAGGGCCAGGUGGAGAACCCCACUGGGCACCUCUGUCCUCCCAUCUACCACUAAAGAGCUACAGUGAGCAGAUCGCCUGACUGGAAAGCUUUCCUGGGGUUCCACUCUGCACUCAGGGUAGAGAAUUCUUGCUGUAAUGAGUGAUGGAGUCAUUUCUUUGGGGAAGAAACUCAGAAAGUGACAUGGAUGAUACAUACCUCUACUUGGGUUCUGUGUUUGAGGUCAAAGAAGACUGUGAGAAACUUUCUUAUACUUUCUCAUAGGUCUUCAUUUGUUAAAAUAGCUAUUAUGUGCUAGGCUCUGAAAUAAUAUGGACAGAUUUAAUCUUUACUGUGAUACUGUGAGGGAGAGAUUAUUGGCCUUAUUUUAAAUAUGAGGCCAUAGAUAUUGGGGCUUCCCAGGGGUGCUAGUGGUAACGAACCCACCUGUCAAUGCAGGGGACAUAAGAGACGUGGGUUCGAUCCCCGGGUCGGGAAAAUCCCCUGGAGAAGGGCAUGGCAAUCUACUCCAAUAUUCUUGCCUCCUGGACAGAGGAGCUGGCUGGCUACAGUCCACAGGGUCACAAAGAGUCAGACACAACUUAAGUGACUUAGCACGAAUGUACACAUAGAUACUUAAGAGUGGCAUUCAAAUCAUUUGCCUCAAAUCACAUACAUAGUAAACAAUAAAAGGUAUCCUCACUUGUUUGAUUUCACCAAAUCAUACCAAGAAAAAAAUAAAAAUGAAUGUCUGGUUUGCUAUUUCCUCCCUUCCUUGUAUAUCACUGAAUAACAAAAUAGUGACUUUUCAGGGCAUAUAUUUUUAGUUUGAAAGAAUUUGUGUUUAAUAUUAAGACUAUCUCUUUAUUCCAAAGAGCACGUUUUUUGCUGUCCCACUAUAUGUCAGACUCCGUACUAGGUGCUCUGGAUACAGCAGUGAACAUAUAUCAAAAUAAGGGGUAUUUUUUGUCAAGUCCUGAGAUUAAAAACAGGAAGCUUUGUGUGUGUUUCAUCUUGUCCUUUCUUCUAUCAAGGCAUUGAAACAUAGAGCCCAAGAUCAGUCGUCAUCAUUUUUCCAUUGAUUCACAGAAUUACUGAACUAACAAGGUACUCCUGAGGUUACUACACCAGCUCCUGAGGUGUGAGGGAAAUGUGAACUAAACCAUUCUAUUAUUAAUAACUUUCAAGGAGGGAGAUUCCAUUAAGCCUUUGUGGUAGUUCCUACUUUAGACUUUUACAGCCUGUUGUGAUGAUGAUAAAUUAUUUCUGCCCCAUAAGAAUUGGCAAGUAUGAAUCUGAAUUUUUAAGGUGAAUACAUUAAGAAAUUUUAAAAAAUCUUAAAUUCUAUACCUUUAACCAAAAUAAACACCUUUAGACAUUUUGGGAUGAUGAGCAGAGAGCCUAGAUGCAUGGUCACAUACCUGUUUUUCUAUAGCUGUGGCCUGAAUCCUACACAUUCUGAGAUAAAGCGAGAAGCUUUGUGACUGUCUGACAGUUCCUCCUGCUUUUCUGUCAGAAACUCUGUGUUCUGUUUACCCCACUUCUCAAUCUGGUAUAGAUGCUUCUGGAAACAUCUCUUUUAGUAGUUAUCUUUGCCACUUCAUAGGUAAGUUGACCUUUUUUUUUUUCUUACAGAAGGCUCUUUGCUUCAUGUAGAAUUGUACACCUAUUUUAAUCCUUAUCAUUAUGGUUAAAAGACCUCCUGAUACAGUAGAAUUCUCAGUUCAUGGACUAUAGCCUUGAGCCUGUUUUAUUAAACUCUCAUGUGGUAACUUACCACGUGCAAAGCUUCAGUGAUGACCACUUUUCACCUCAAGUCUCAUAUUCCAUGAUUUAGUUUAUCCCUUGAAAGUACAAGGGAAAACCAGAGCCCCUUUAAAUACUUCCAUCAUGAGAGCACCAGUUGUAGGGGAAACAUCUCCCCAAAGUGUAACUUAUUAAACUUUCAUGAAAGUUUCCCAUUUAAAAUGUCACAUUGAUAAGUCUCUGAGAUAAAACUAGAAGCUUUAUCUGUGCACAUUUCAUCUUGUUCUUUCUUCAUCAGCAAGCUGUUGAAAUAGAUCCUACAGGCAUUCAUUCUCUACCCUGCAGAACUAUCCAGUUUACUGAGUAGAGGGCUCCUGCUCUCUGGAGUAUGUCAUGCUGGUGCAUGUUUCAGGGCCUUGGUGGCUGUGGUGCUACCUCUUUGCAGUAUCUGGGCCAUGCUUGGCUUGAAUUACCUUACAGCGGCUCUUUCAUCCUGGUCCAAGAAAGGACUCAUGGCAAAAACUGUUAUUCCUUUCAAUGUCCAGCUUUUUGUCUAGCUCCUUAGUAUACUAAAUGUGACAUUCUUCUCCAUGUACCUAAGAUUGUGCUUCACAUUAGGGACAAAAGCAGUCUGGGUUGCAGACUUAAACAACAUGCAGUUUCACUCAAUCAGUGAAAGAUCGCAUUUGCUCAGUCACUUCAGCCAUGUCCAACUCUGCGACCCUAUGGACUGUAGCCCCUAGGCUCCUCUGUCCAUGGGAUUCUCCAGGUGAGUGUACUGGAGUGGGUUGCCAUGCCCUCCUCCAGGGAUCUUCCCAACCCAGGAAUCAAACCCACAUCUUUUAUGUCUCCUACAUUGGCAGGUGGGUUCUUUACCACUAGCGCCACCUGGGAAGCCCUCACAUUUGAUAAUUCCCCAGUUUUUCAAGGUGAAACUUUUCCACUGAGAUCACUAUGACAGUUGUGUUAAUGCUGGUGGGUUUGUAUUUUGGGAAAACUUUAAGUUAAUAUAUUUAUACUCAUUAUGUUAUUUCUUAUUAAUUUAAUGCUCAUUUUCAUUUUAGUUACCUAUGUAAUUAUUGAAUAUCCAGACUCCCCACUGAAGUUCAAAUUCCAUGAUGAUGGAAACUGUUGUCACAUUGACUCAUAUAUGUAUAGUAGCUGUAUAUAUAUAAACAGUCAAUACUUGUUUUUAUGUGUAAGGUAAAGAACACUGGUGGGGACCUGGAAUUUGGGCCCCAAUCCCAUUUUUGCCUCAACAGCGUAGGCGACCUUGGGCCAGCUACUUCCCAUAACUGGACUUCAGUCUCUUCAUCUGUGAAAUAAGGCCAUAGGAAGGGGGAUUCAUGCAGUCACUUUCAGCUUUAUGAGUCUCAGUGUGUGAGUCUGACUAAAUGGAGGAAGAAUUGCAGCCAGUCCGUUGAAUGCCACGACUUUCUUUCCAAACCCCGGCUGAUUCCAUUGAAGUGCCCUGCCCUGGGCUGGGAAGGGCUGGCCCAGGGCCUUCCUCAGGAGCCCAGGCCAGAACCCGUCACCUCCUUUGGGACAUCCGGGAGCAGUGUUUUCCACACUUUUCCUGUUGCAGCCCCGUUCUCCUCAAAAUAAUAAAAGAAUUAAAAAGACUUCUGCUUCUUUGUGGGCAGAAGCCAUGUCAACCUUAACCUAUGCCUGGCUGUUUGCUGCAGCUAAGAUGGAGGAAUCCCAGGAGGUGGUUCAGUGGGCAGUUGCUCUGGUGGGAGAGGAGGGUGGAGACACUGGCCUUCCCCUGCUGACUGGACUUAGAAUUGACUUCAGCCUCCACUCCUAUGUCCCAUCCCCUGCCCUACCUCCAGCACCACAGUUUCUAGCCACCUUGUAAUACUUCAGAUCCUCUGCCUGGCCAGGUAAUAGGGAUUCAGAUGACUGUAGUAAGUACAGUGGUGUGUGACAGACCAGUCUCAGAAGCUAGGAGCCUGAAAUUUACCAUAUCAAAACCCCUCCCCUGAGCCUCUUAUAUAUUCCCCCUUCCCCUCCCCUUAUCUGAUUUACUGCCAAGAAGAUUGGAGCCCUCUCUGUGACAGUUUGGAAAGUCCUGGAUCAAAUGGUCUCUUCUCUAAUGCAAGGGGAAUCAAAUUUGAGAAUUCAACAAAAAAUUAUACCAAUUCCUGG
ensembl:lncRNA